AACCUCCGCAAUGUGAGAAAUCGCGACGGGGGGAUCCCAAGUGCCAUUCUUAACGGGAUGGCUUUUCAUUAGUGUAAAGAGCUUUUGGAAUAAGGGCUGGGCAAGACCGGUGCCAGCCGCCGCGGUAACACCGGCAGCUCUAGUGGUAGCAGUUUUUAUUGGGCCUAAAGCGUCCGUAGCCGGUUUAAUAAGUCUCUGGUGAAAUCCUGUAGCUUAACUGUAGGAAUUGCUGGAGAUACUAUUAGACUUGAGACCGGGAGAGGUUAGAGGUACUCCCAGGGUAGAGGUGAAAUUCUGUAAUCCUGGGAGGACCGCCUGUUGCGAAGGCGUCUAACUGGAACGGUUCUGACGGUGAGGGACGAAAGUUAGGGGCGCGAACCGGAUUAGAUACCCGGGUAGUCCUAACCGUAAACGAUGCGGACUUGGUGUUGGGUGGCUUUGAGCUGCUCCAGUGCCGAAGGGAAGCUGUUAAGUCCGCCGCCUGGGAAGUACGGUCGCAAGACUGAAACUUAAAGGAAUU
rnacentral:rRNA from 1 species